GGUAACACUAACUGGAGGACCGAACCGACUAAUGUUGAAAAAUUAGCGGAUGACCUGUGGCUGGGGGUGAAAGGCCAAUCAAACCGGGAGAUAGCUGGUUCUCCCCGAAAGCUAUUUAGGUAGCGCCUCGUGAAUUCAUCUCCGGGGGUAGAGCACUGUUUCGGCUAGGGGGCCAUCCCGGCUUACCAACCCGAUGCAAACUGCGAAUACCGGAGAAUGUUAUCACGGGAGACACACGGCGGGUGCUAACGUCCGUCGUGAAGAGGGAAACAACCCAGACCGCCAGCUAAGGUCCCAAAGUCAUGGUUAAGUGGGAAACGAUGUGGGAAGGCCCAGACAGCCAGGAUGUUGGCUUAGAAGCAGCCAUCAUUUAAAGAAAGCGUAAUAGCUCACUGGUCGAGUCGGCCUGCGCGGAAGAUGUAACGGGGCUAAACCAUGCACCGAAGCUGCGGCAGCGAACGUAUCACCCAAGACAACUUUACGGAGUUGACGAUUGACGGAGCGAAGCGACGUCAAAGCGUUCAUUAAAGUCGAGUUGGCUUAGGGAUACGUUCGUUGGGUAGGGGAGCGUUCUGUAAGCCUGUGAAGGUGUGUCGUGAGGCAUGCUGGAGGUAUCAGAAGUGCGAAUGCUGACAUAAGUAACGAUAAAGCGGGUGAAAAGCCCGCUCGCCGGAAGACCAAGGGUUCCUGUCCAACGUUAAUCGGGGCAGGGUGAGUCGACCCCUAAGGCGAGGCCGAAAGGCGUAGUCGAUGGGAAACGGGUUAAUAUUCCCGUACUUGGUGUUACUGCGAAGGGGGGACGGAGAAGGCUAUGUUGGCCGGGCGACGGUUGUCCCGGUUUAAGCGUGUAGGUGUGUGUUCCAGGUAAAUCCGGUUCACUUUAACACUGAGGCGUGACGACGA
rnacentral:rRNA from 1 species